rnacentral:rRNA from 1 species
AUUGAACGCUGGCGGCAGGCCUAACACAUGCAAGUCGAGCGAGCGGCGGACGGGUGAGUAAUGUAUGGGGACUGCCCGAUAGAGGGGGAUCACUACUGGAAACGGUAGCUAAUACCGCAUACUAUCGGAUAACCCAUAUGGGAUUAGCUCGUAGGUGGAGUAAUGGCUCACCUAGGCGACGAUCCCUAGCUGGUCUGGGAGGAUGAGCCGCCACACUGGAACGGAGACACGGCCGAGAGUCCUACGGAGGCAGCAUUGGGGAAUAUUGCACGAUGGGGGCAAGCCGAAUGCAGCCAUGCCGCGAGGAUGAAGAAGGCCCUAGGGUUGUAAAGUACUUUCAGUCGGGAGGCGUUACCGACAGAAGAAGCACCGGCUAACUCCGUGCCAGCCGCCGCGGUAAUAC